rnacentral:rRNA from 1 species
AGAGCGAACGCUGGCGGCAGGCCUAACACAUGCAAGUCGAGCGCCCGUAGCAAUACGGGAGCGGCAGACGGGAUAGUAACACGUGGGAACGCGCCCUUCGGUUCGGAAUAACUCAGGGAAACUUGAGCUAAUACCGGGUACGCCCUUACGGGGAAAGAUUUAUUGCCGAAGGAACGGCCCGCGUCCGAUUAGCUAGUUGGUGAGGUAAUGGCUCACCAAGGCGACGAUCGGUAGCUGGUCUGAGAGGAUGACCAGCAUCACUGGGACUGAGACACGGCCCAGACUCCUACGGGAGGCAGCAGUGGGGAAUAUUGGACAAUGGGCGCAAGCCUGAUCCAGCCAUGCCGCGUGGAUGAUGAAGGCCUUAGGGUUGUAAAGUCCUUUUAACGGGAAGAUAAUGACGGUACCGUAGAAUAAGCCCGGCUAACUUCGUGCCAGCAGCCGC